rnacentral:lncRNA from 1 species
GCCACCUCAGAGCCGGCCAGGUAGAAGAUGAUCUCAUAGUUCUUCAACACAUCCACCAGGCGGCCUGGGGAGGAGGAGGAAGAGGAGGGAGAGAUGUAAAACCUCAUGUGGAUUCUGCCAUUUGAAACCUUAAAAAUGUCACUUGCUGUCCCUGGACCUCAAUUGCUUAAGUGAUAUGUGGCUUCUGAGACAGGGUUUUGCCAUGUUGCCCCGGCUGGUUUCAGACUUCUGGCCUCAGCCCCCCAAAGCGCUGGGAUUACAUGCAUGAGCCACUACACCCGACCAGGAAAAUCUCUUAAUUGCAAGUAUUUCCCCCUAAAGUGUGGUUUGUCUGUGUGCUCCACCCUCUCUCUAGGUCAUUCUCCUCACCCCAUGCACCUCCUCUGCCCAUCAGAUCCAUCCAGAUUCACACAAGAAAUGGAAGACGGUUCCUUGAGGCCUGGGCAGGCUGGUUUUGUGGCCUGCCCACACACUGGCUCAGGGACUUUGCCGUUCUCACUGGGUCAGGUGGGAUGACAGAGCUCAGUGAGGGCACUCGAUUAGCCCAGCCCUGAAGGAAGGACGAGCAGCUCACCCCAUCUCAGUGCAGCCUGCGGCCCCCGCAAGGUGUCCUCCCUGGUUACUGCACCAUCUCACAGCCCUCUAGCCUCUGGGACUCAAAGGCAGGCUCCCUUGCUGUUUCAAGAUAACUUGACAACCCAGGAAAACCCUCAUGUCCCCCACUCCCACCUUUCCAAUUUUGGUUCCUGCCUUGCUUGCAUAAGGACGCUGUUCCCCCCCAACAAGCCCUGCCCAUCCAUGCUGUGCCUUCACCUGGGGGAUAUUCCAGGAAGCCUUCCCUGACCACCCUCAUGACGAUGACUUCCUAAGGGUGACGGUGACAAGUGCCAGCAGGCCAUCUGCACAGUGAAAGACACCAGUGCUUCUCCCCAUCUGCCCGCUGAGCACCCCCACUCUGUUUCUGGCCCCAACACCAGUUUCCCAAAGAUACUGUCCCCAUUCCAGUCACCAUUCUAGAUGCACCAUUCUAAAGGCGUGGGCAUUUAGCAGCAGGUACACUGAGGCUCUCAUUCUGGGGCUGCAACUUGCGCUAAGGCUUUGUGCCUCAGUUUCCUCAUCUGCAAAAUGAGAAUAAGCACCUGCGCUCCAGAUGGCCUUGUGCCAACUGCUUGGGAUGGCAGAUCUGGCCAGCUACCAGUGUUGCUUUCUUCCCUGCACCUUCCUGGGCUUUUCUGUCCUCACCCAGAGCGGGCGGUCCGGCUUGGAGGAGGGACUAACUGGCCGUGAAGGGGAGUCCACCCACCCGACUGCCCCUUCCCCUCAUCCCUGGAAGUUCCAUCUGAGACAGGGGGAUGGAGCUUCCCUGGG